rnacentral:sRNA from 1 species
CAGCAGUGACUGAGCUCAGCUGGUGAUCAUCUACAUCCAUCUUGUCCAGUUCACUUUUUAAGUGUUCUUUGUUAUCAAAGCCAUGCCCAUUAGUGAAGUAUACUUGCUGGAUAUACAAUCAGGAAUACCAUUAAAACAGGUGUAGGCCUCUCUUAAAAUUUUAAGAUCAAUUUAUAUUGUAUUAUUUGUUUGUUUGUUUGUUUGUGUUUUUUUUUUGGGGGGGGGAGGGGGAGUUACCAAUAAAUUAAUGAUAUAUAUAUAUAUAUAUAUACGUAUACUUGUAUUUGUAUAUACAUGUAUUUAAGAUACCAAUUACAAAUUAAUGGUUAAUGAACUGAACUGUAUUUGUAUUUAAUUGCAUUCCUUUCAUAGUACAAAGUACACACAAAAUUGUAAUUCAGGACUUGCUACACAUAAUUUGCUUUAUAUUUUCAUACAGUUUUAUAUUCACCAUAAAAUCUAUUGAUUUUGAUAGAAGAUUAUGCUGUUACUUUUAAUAUUUUAUCAGUAAGACUGAAUUAGAGAAAGUGUGCCAAACAGUACACAUAUAUAUAUAUAUAUACUCUAUUUGCAUGUAAUGUCAAUUAUAAAAAAUGAACAAAUGAGCAAGUGAAAAAUUUGACUCAAUUAAAACACAAAAUGAUAUAAAAUAUCCUAUACUUUGAAUGUUCUUUAGUAAAUGAAUGAAUGAAUUACUGCUGUUGUUAAACAAAUUGAAAUUAGUUUAUCAGUACCGGUAAUUUACUGCUGGUGGUACCUAAAUGUAAUUUAGUAUAUUAGUGAAUAACUGGUCGGUAUCUAUAUGUAAUUUAGUAUAUUUAAAAUUUAGUGAAUAACUGUGGUUGAUACGUAAAUGUUAUAUAGUAUAUACAUGAAUAACUGCUGGUGGUGUCCAAAUGUGAUUUAGUAUAUCGGUGAAUAACUGUGUUUGCUACAUGUAUAUGUAUGUUUUCAUCAAUCGUUGCUUUGAUUAGUUCUUUAGUUCAUAUGUGGUACAAAAAAUAUGUUUUUUUAAGAUGUCAGCAUGGUCACAGAGUGAUGUAUUUUCCAUCAUAAUGUGCGAGAGGACAGAUAGAUGUUUGCUCAUUUUAAAAUGGCUCAAUCAGUAUCAGAUCUUGAUCAUCUAUAAGAGCUUACCAGUGUGUAAAACCUCACACUUGUCUGUUUUUUGUGUAAAUGCAAGAUAAAUUAUAUUUAAUAAAGAAAUAUUUAUACCU